rnacentral:rRNA from 1 species
UACGUAGGGUGCGAGCGUUAAUCGGAAUUACUGGGCGUAAAGCGUGCGCAGGCGGUUCGUUGUGUCUGCUGUGAAAUCCCCGGGCUCAACCUGGGAAUGGCAGUGGAAACUGGCGAGCUUGAGUGUGGCAGAGGGGGGUGGAAUUCCGCGUGUAGCAGUGAAAUGCGUAGAGAUGCGGAGGAACACCGAUGGCGAAGGCAACCCCCUGGGCUGACACUGACGCU